GUUUGAUCCUGGCUCAGGACGAACGCUGGCGGCGUGCCUAAUACAUGCAAGUAGAACGCUGAAGAGAGGAGCUUGCUCUUCUUGGAUGAGUUGCGAACGGGUGAGUAACGCGUAGGUAACCUGCCUGGUAGCGGGGGAUAACUAUUGGAAACGAUAGCUAAUACCGCAUAAAAUUGAUUAUUGCAUGAUAAUUAAUUGAAAGAUGCAACUGCAUCACUACCAGAUGGACCUGCGUUGUAUUAGCUAGUUGGUGAGGUAACGGCUCACCAAGGCGACGAUACAUAGCCGACCUGAGAGGGUGAUCGGCCACACUGGGACUGAGACACGGCCCAGACUCCUACGGGAGGCAGCAGAAGGGCGAAUUCGU
rnacentral:rRNA from 1 species